rnacentral:lncRNA from 1 species
ACAAGAUCACAAAGCAUGGUGUCUCGACCCAAAUCAAAUAUGGUAGUGCACAAGACCACAAAGCAUGGCUCCUAACCAUAAUCCCAAUUUAGGAUAAUAUAAUAUCAGGUACGCAAGACCACAAAGCAUGGUACCGAUAUUCUAUGCUGGCAAGCACGUUCUUUCAGUGAUGAGCCGCUUGUGUCUCAAAUGCCUUCUUCGAGCAUCCACCUUUCUCAUGUAAAAUCAAUGCAUUCAAAUUUCAUCUUAUUCAAUCGCAUAUCGUAUUUUGAAGGGUAUCGUCAUACCCGACUUGCAAGUCAUCAAUAUCACAUCCACAUAUGCAUAAUCAUGUAAAAACCAAGGCGCUUCAUCAUUUACAAGUGGUGAACACAAUAUUUAUCAAAUUCAUGCUCUCUUUUGUUAAUCAUAAUAUAAUAUGGAGUAUCAAAACAUUAUCAUGGGAAUUUGAAAACAAUUUAUCAUUCAUAUUUAUCAACUUCCAUGGAAAAUCUCAAAUCACCUAUGCAUGAUUUCAACCAUUAAAGUAUAUAGGCAAACAAUUCCCAUGACAUUAAGAAAACAACUUAGAAAUCAUAUUGAAAGCAAGAUAUUAGCAUUUGAUUAAAAAUCCCCAUUUAAAAGCAUGCAUGUUCAUAAAACUACACCUAUGAGAUUUUUGGAUAACCCCACGUACCUCGAUUACUAUUAAUAUUAGGUGCUUCUUGAAGCCAACGUUGAGAGGAUUCCAAAUAUGCAAUUUGUUUCUAAAACCCACGGUUGAAUCUUGAGUAGCUUGGGUUUUUAUUUUGAAACCCUAAGGAGAAUCUUGAGCACUUUUGAUGAAAGAAUAUGUAUUUUGGGGUCCUUGGAACUAAAAUUCGUGUUUUAGGGCUAAGUAAGGGUGGAAAAGGACCACUUUGUCCUCAACACAGAGUGUUUAAAUUACCAGAAUUCCUUACAUAGGCGCCGCCCAUCCCAUCGCCUAUCUUCACAUAGGCGCCACCUAGGGUAUUGACUAUGUUCGCAUAGGCGCCGCCUAGGCUAUUGCCUUUGCUUUCUAGUGGCCAUGGGAGAUUGGUUAGGCGUCGCUUAUCGCUUUGAAAGGCCAUAACUUCUUGCUCGGGUGUCAGAUUUUAGCCAACUUGGUAUCGUUGGAAAGCUAACUCGAAUACCUAUCAUUUGAAACAUAGUAGGUUCCCUAAUUCGACAUAUACAGAGAGUUAUGGUCGAAGGAAGCUGACACACUUUACAACAUUUACUAAAACUUAGUCGAUCAAAAUAGUUCCAACUUGUCCUUUAGUUGAGGGACCUCUAUGGUCUAAAUUCAAGCUUGAGUGGAUUUCACAUGCUACACGAUAAUUAACAUGCCAUGUUGGCAUAGAAUUUUAUGGCUUCGGGAUUAACAACGCAUCAAAAUCAUGGUCUAUACUGUAGCCCGAAUUGCGGGGCGUUACAUUAUCCCCCCCUUAGGAUCAUUCAUCCCCGAAUGAUGAUGCGAGACACAGGCAGACACGAUUUUAAGCAUAAAAAAAGGACUAGGAAAGAUAAGAUAGGAAUAGUACCUUCUGUCUCCUCCUCCAUCGAAGCAAACAAAUUGGGAUAUCUAAUUCUCAUGUCAUCUUCUGACUCCCAAGUUGCUUCUUCAACUUUUUGAUUCCUCCACCGUACCUUUACUGAGGCUCUCUCUUUGCUCCUCAACUUUUGAACUUAGCGAUCUAAAAUUUCAACGAGCUCUUCUUCGUAAGACAAGGAGUCUGUCACUUUGAUACCCUCUACUAGCAAUACCAUAGAAUGAUCUCCAAUGUAUUUCUUCAACAUGGAUACAUGGAAUACCGGAUGAACGAAACCCAAACUUGCAGGCAAUUCUAACUCAUACGCAACUGUAUCAAUCCUUUUCAAAAUCUGAUAUGGCCUUACAUAACAAGGGCUCAAUUUACCCCUUUUUCCAAACCGCAUAACUUCUUUCAUAGGAGAAACCUUGAUAAACAACCAAUCACCAAUUUCAAACUCUAGUUCUCUUCUCCGAAUAUCGCCAUAGGACUUCUGACGACUCUAAGCUGUCUUGAGUCGUUCUCUAAUGAUCUUCACUUUCACCAUCGCCUGAUGAACAAGAUCAGGCCCAUACAAAUGAGUCUCACCUACUUCAUACCAUCCUAUCGGAGACCUACAUCUCCUCCCAUACAAAGCCUCCCAUCUUGAUACUGGCAUGGUAACUAUUAUUGUAAGCAAAUUCAACAAGUGGCAGGUGAUCUACCCAACUACCUUUGAAAUCAAUAACGCAUGCCCUCAACAUAUCUUCGAGGGUCUGAAUAGUAUGCUCAGCUUGCCCAUCCAUCUGAGGGUGGAAAGCUAUGCUCAAAUUCACUUGUGUACCUAAACCCUUCUGAAAAGAUCUCCAAAAUUGAGAUGAAAACUGCGUACCUCUAUUGGAUAUAAUGGACACUGGUGACCCAUGCAAUUGAACUAUCUCCUCAAUGUAAAUCUUAGCAUAAACCGCUCCCGAAUAAUUAGUCCUCAUAGGCAAAAAGUGGGCUGACUUGGUCAACCGAUCUACAAUCACCCAUAUAGAAUUAUACUAUUUUCGAGAUCUUGGAAGUCCUAUAAUGAAGUCCAUGUUUAUCAUCUCCCACUUCCAUAAAGGCAGGGCUAUCUCUUGGGAAGUACCACCUGGCCUCAUGUGUUCUACCUUCACUUGUUGACAGUUCAAACACUUGGACACAAAAUCAGCUACAUCACGUUUCAUGUUAUUCCACCAAUACAAGGUUUUCAAAUCAUGGUACAUCUUAGUAGAGCCUGGGUGAAUGAUAUAACUAGAAGUGUACACCUCAUUAAGGAUUCUUUCCCGUAUCCCAUCGACAUUCGGAACACAAAACCUACCCUGAAAUCUCAGAAUACCAUCGCCACUAAUUUCAAACGACAUAACCUUUUGUUGACCCACAUCUUUCUUGAUUUGCAUCAAGAUGGGAUCUUUAACCUGCUUUUCCUUAACUUCAGCACAAAGAGAUGACUUAGCCAACUCAUGAACAAUCACCCCUCCAUCUUCGAAAUCUAAGAGUCGCACUCCCAAAUUUGCAAGGCAGUAAAUAUCCUUCACCAUUUCUUUCUUUCUUUCUUCUACAUGAGAAAGGCUGCCCAUAGAAAACCUGCUGAGGGCGUUGGCUACAACAUUUGCCUUGCCCGGAGGGUAAUGCAGACUCAUAUCAUAGUCUUUCAAAAGCUCCAUCCAACGCCUCUGCCUGAGGUUCAAUUCUUUCUGUGAGAAAACAUACUGUAAAGUCUUAUGGUCGAUAUAAAUAUCGACAUGCACUCCAUAGAGAUAGUGCCUCCAGAUUCUAAGUGAAAACACCACGGCUGCUAACUCCAAGUCAUGAGUGGGGUAAUUGCGCUCAUGCACCUUUAGCUGCCUAGAUGCAUAAGCAAUCACCUUACCACACUGCAUCAAUACACAACCAAGUCCCACAUGGGACGUAUCACAAUAAACCACAAAAUCAUCUAUACCCUCGGGAAGGGUCAAAACAGGAGCAGUAGUCAGCUUGUCCUUCAAUUUCUCAAAACUAUUUUCACACAAGUCAGACCAUACAAACUUCAUCUUUUUCUGAGUUAGUUUAGUAAGCGGAGCGGCUAUGGAAGAAAAACUCUCUACAAACCAUCUGUAAUACCCCGCCAAACCCAAGAAGCUCUGAAUAGCGGUUGGAGUCGUGGGCCUGGGCCAUUUUCUCACUGCUUCAACUUUAUGGGGAUCCCCUCUUAUCCCGUCACUGGACACAAUAUGCCCUAGGAAGGCAAUAGCGUCUAACCAGAAUUCACACUUAGAAAAUUUGACAUACAACUGAUGAUUCUUAAGGGUCUGAAGGAUAAUUUUGAGGUGAUUGGCGUGAUCCUCAUUAUUCAUAGAAUAGAUCAGAAUCUCAUCAAUAAAUACAAUGACGAACAAGUCAAGAAAUUGAUGGAACACUCUAUUCAUAAGAUCCAUGAAGGCUGCAGGGGCGUUAGUCAACCCGAAGGACAUGACUAGAAAUUCGUAGUGACCAUAUCGUGUUCGGAAGGCUGUCUUGGGUAUGUCUGACUCCCUAACUUUCAACUGAUGAUAACCCGAACGAAGGUCUAUUUUUGAAAAACACUUGGCAUCGCAUGAAGAGCACGGGUGCACCCCAUGGGGAAACACUAGGACGAAUAAAACCUUUGUCUAGGAGGUCUGCAAGCUGUUCCUUUAGCUCCUUUAGUUCUGCUGGAGCCAUUCUAUAUGUCGGAAUAUAAAUAGGACGAGUGUCUAGCAACACAUCAAUGCUAAAAUUUAUCUUCCUACCAGGGGGUAUCCCUGGGAGAUCUUCGGGAAAGACUUCUGGGAAUUCAUUCACUACAGGGAGUGACUGCAGAGGAAGGUUUCCAACUUUUGAAUCUGUUACUUGGAUUAGAUGAUACGUACAAACUUUAGAGAUAAGCUUUUGGGCUCUAAGAUAAGAGAUAAAGUGACCUCUAGGUUCCACAGAACUCCCUGCCCAAGCAACUGGUGUCUCAUUCGGGAAAGAAAAAGUGACCUUUCGAGUUCUGCAAUCAAGGGUGGCAUAACAUGAAUGGAGCCAGUCCAUCCCAAGGAUGGCAUCAAAGUCUAUCAUAUUCAGUUCUAUAAGGUCUGCCACAGUUUCCCUACCGUGACUAGAGACGACAUAAUUUCUAUAUACCCUUUUAGCAACAAUAGAAUCACCUACAGGAGUAGAAAUAGAGAAGGGUUCUAUAAUAACUUCAGGCUCAAACCUGAAACCAAUAGCUACAUAAUGGGUCACAUAAGAUAAAGUGGACUCGGGAUCAAGAAAUACAUAAACAUCACGAGAAAAGAUUCGUAACAUACCGGUGACAACAUCUGGAGAAGCUUCCGCCUCCUGGCGGUUAGUCAAAGAAAAUAACCGGUUGCGACCUCUUCCGAAAGCUGAAGGGGCACCCUUAGGAAAAGGAGCUGUGGAGGUAGCUUGGGACUUAACCCCCCCCCCCCCCCAUAUUUACUCCAGCACAAGGAUAAUCUCUCUGAAGGUGACCCAUUUUGCCAUAAGUAUAGCAGUUUCUUCCCUCAAACCAGCACUUCCCUAGAUGAUUUGUUCCGCAAACCUCACACCGCGGAUGAGUACGAUGCUGUUGGGCCACACUGCCCUGAGACUAUGUACCUAGAGCUUUGGACCCAUGAGGAGUCUGAAAACUCUGAGUUUGUCUGUCUGUCGGUGAUCUGGUUGCUGGGGCGCUGCCUGCUGACUGUUCAUUAUUCCAAAACUUCUUCUUCUUCGACCACUUAAUACCCCAGUUACCACUCUGUGGUUGACUCUGGCACUGGUCCGCAGAUCUAGCAUUCUUCGCCUGUCUUUCUUUCUCUCUAGAUUCAGAAACCUUUUUCUUCUUCUCUUCCACUUGAUGUAUAUGAACGGUCAGUCGAAAAAAGUCUAACUCCUUAUUCAAGAUAGCCCCCUGGCACUCAAGUACUAGGUCAUCAGCAAGGCCAGAUGCAAAUUUCCUCAUUCGGGCCCUCAUAUUACUAGUCAACUCUGGUGCAUAGCGGGCUAGUUUAUUAAACUUCAAAGUGUACUCCUGGACACUCAUACUGCCCUGCUUUAGAUUCAUAAACUCUUCUGCUUUGGCCUCUCUCAACUCUAGAGGAAAGAAUCGAUCAAGGAAGGCUUCCACAAAUUCACCCCAAACUGUGGGCUCAGCACUUUUACCUUUUUCAUCUUCCUAGUCGGCAUACCAUUGACUCACAACGUCCUUGAGACGAUAGGUUGCUAACUCCACCCCUUCAACCUCAUCCACAUGCAUCACCUUAAAGAUCUUUUCCGUCUCAUCCACGAACUCCUAUGGAUAUUUCUCUACCUUGGUGCUAGUGAACUUAGGUGGGUUUAUCUUCAUGAAAUGUUUGACUCUAGUAGCCUCAGAUGUAACAGAUGCAGAUGCAACAUCUUUCGAUUGUUGAGCUUGGUUGGCUACCAACUACGUCAGCAUAUGAAUAGACUGUCUGAAUUCUGUAUUUGAAAUAUCUCCCUGAGCAGUUGAGGGACGGUUGACAUUAGUCCACAGAGCCCGAGGUGGACUGGUCAGGACUGGAGGGACUCCCGGAGUAGGGACAAAUUAUGGAGUGUGAGCCCUAUUACGGGUCCACAUCCCAUGGGUGGGACGGAACUCAUCUGCCUAUGCAUUUUGAUCGACGAUAUGACGUGGAGGCAUAACAGUUUAGAAUAUGAAGCACGAACUAAAUCACAAAGAAGGGAAACAUUUCCUAAACGCCUAGUAGCCUCCUGCUUAUAAGUGUGGCACACUACACACCCAUAGCACACUACACACCCAUAAAAAAGACUCUACCCGAUGCAUUUUUGCAGACAGCCUAGGACCAUGAACCGCGCUUUGAUACCAAGUUUGUCACGACCCAAACCAGGGCCUGGCCGUGAUGAGCAUUUCAAACCUUUGAGGCCCGAAACACACCUAUCUGUUUGGUAAUCAUGCACCUAAUUCAUAUUAUCAAAGUAAUGCGGAAGAAACACAAUAUGAUGGAAACAUGGUCAAGAAUCACAUGAAAACAAUAAUGGAGAAUAAUGUCCCACAAUCUUAAUCAACAUUUCAAAAAUCGUCUGCGAAAUCUCUACUACAUAACUGAAACAAGUAACUAUCUGAAAACUGGGACAAGGCCUCUAGUAGACCCAAAAAAAACUGAAUAUAAGAUAAAAGAACUGCAGGACUUAAGACCUUCCGAAACAUAGAAGGCUCACCACUUGUCUUUAUAGCUCUAUCUAAAAGUUCUACUGAUUCUCUUGACCCCUAGACUGGGCCUCUGAACUUGAGAGGUUGGAGAGGGGAGGGGGUCAGCACAAAAGUACUGGCACGCAAAGAUAUAAAAAAAACAUAAUAUUUUUACAAAGUAUAGUUAAGAGCCGUUAUAAAGAAAUUUCGUAUCAAAUCAUUUGAAAGCACAUGGGUGUAAUGCAAUAGUGUUUCUCAAUAAUAAUGAAAUGCAAUUGAGCUAGGUGGAAUACCUUACAUAAUUUACACCAACUGUCAAACCUCGGUUGCCGCCGAGAUUAGAGUAUAAGUGAGGGAGAGACACACAAGACCACAAAGCAUGGUGUCUUGACCCAAAUCAAAUAUGGUAGUGCACAAGACCACAAAGCAUGGCUCCUAACCAUAAUCCCAAUUUGGGAUAGUAUAAUAUCAGGUACGCAAGAUCACAAAGCAUGGUACCGAUAUUCCAUGUUGGCAAACACGUUCUUCCAGCGAUGAGCCGCUUGUGUCCCAAAUGCCUUCUUCUGGCAUCCACCUUUCUCAUGUAAAAUCAAUGCAUUCAAAUUUCAUCUUAUUCAAUCACAUAUCAUAUUUUGAAGGGUCUCGUCAUACCCGACUUACAAGUCAUCAAUAUCACAUCCACAUAUGCAUAAUCAUGCAAAAAUCAAGGUGCUUCAUUAUUUACAAGUGGUGAACAAUAUUUAUUUCAAAUUCAUGCUCUCUUUUGUUAAUCACAAUAUAAUAUGGAGUUUCAAAACAUUAUCAUGGAAAUUUGAAAACAAUUUAUCAUUCAUAUUUAUCAACUUUCAUGGAAAAUCUCAAAUCACAUAUGCAUGGUUUCAACCAUUGAAGUAUAUAGGCAAACAAUUCCCAUGACAUAAAGAAAAUGACUUAGAAAUCAUAUUGAAAGCAAGAUAUUAGCAUUUG